AGCCGCGGUAAUACGGGGGGUGCAAGCGUUGUUCGGAAUUAUUGGGCGUAAAGCGUGCGUAGGCGGACUUUUAAGUCUGAUGUGAAAUCCCUCGGCUCAACCGAGGACGUGCAUUGGAUACUGGAAGUCUUGAGUCCCGGAGAGGAGAGCGGAAUUCCUAGUGUAGAGGUGAAAUUCGUAGAUAUUAGGAGGAACACCAGUGGCGAAAGCGGCUCUCUGGACGGUGACUGACGCUGAGGCACGAAAGCAUAGGUAGCAAACAGGAUUAGAUACCCUGGUAGUCUAUGCCGUAAACGAUGGAUACUAGUUGGUGCGGGUAUUGACCCCUGCGCUGACGAAGCUAACGCAUUAAGUAUCCCGCCUGGGGAGUACGGCCGCAAGGCUAAAACU
rnacentral:rRNA from 1 species